UUGGAGUUCGAUUAAGCCAUGCGAGUCGAGAGUCUUAGGGACUCGGCGCACCGCUCAGUAACACGUGGGUAACCUGCCCUAUGCUGGGGAAUAACCUCGGGAAACUGAGAAUAAUGCCCCAUAGCCCACUACGCCUGGAACGGUGAGUGGGUCAAAGCUCCGGCGGCAUAGGACGGGCCUGCGCCGUAUCAGGUUGUAGGGGGUGUAAAGUACCCUCUAGCCAUCAACGCGUACGGGUGUUGGGAGACAUUGCCCGGAGAUGGAUUCUGAGACACGAAUCCAGACCCUACGGGGUGCAGCAGGCGCGAAAACUUGGCAAUGCGAGCAAUCGUGACCAGGGAACUCCAAGUGCGUAGGGUAAGACCUACGCUUUUCUUGACUCUUCAAAGGUCUUGGAAUAAGGGGUGGGUAAGGACGGUGCCAGCCGCCGCGGUAAUACCGGCGCCUCAAGUGGUAGUCGCUUUUAUUGGGCCUAAAACGUCCGUAGCCGGUCUGGUGCAUUCGUGGGUAAAUCAACCCGCUCAACGGGUUGAAUUCUGCGAGCACGGCCAGACUUGGGACCGGGAGAGGUGUGGGGUACUCUCAGGGUAGGGGUAAAAUCCAGUCAUCCUGAGGGGACCACCUGUUGCGAAGGCGCCACACUAGAACGGAUCCGACGGUCAGGGACGAAGCCUAGGGGCACGAACCGGAUUAGAUACCCGGGUAGUCCUAGGUGUAAACGCUGUGGACUUGAUGUUGGAGAAGCUCCGAGCUUCUUCAGUGUCGAAGCGAAGGUGAUAAGUCCACUGCCUGGGAAGUACGGUCGCAAGGCUGAAACUUAAAGGAAUUGGCGGGGGAGCACCGCAAGC
rnacentral:rRNA from 1 species